rnacentral:lncRNA from 1 species
CCGGCGCGGUUUUUGUUUCCGAUCUGUCUGUCAAAUUUUAGCCCAUUUCGACACAGUCGUGAAAAAUGACGAAAUUGCCCCCGGCGCGAUUUUUAUUUCCGAUCAACCUGCCAAAUUUAAGUCUAUUCCGACACAGUCGCGUAAAAUGACGAAAUUGCCCCCGGCGCUAUUUUUGUUUCCGAUCAACCAGUCAAAUUUUAGCCCAUUUCGGCACAGUCGCGAAAAAUGACGAAAUUGCCCCCGGAG